rnacentral:tRNA from 1 species
GGUGAGAUGGCCGAGUGGUCUAAGGCGCUAGAUUUAGGUCUUCACCUUCCUCUAGUCAUUCGUGGCGUGGGUUCAAAUCCCACUCUCAUCA